GGAAACGUGACCGAGUGGCCGAAGGUGCUCCCCUGCUAAGGGAGUAUGCGUCAAAAGCGCAUCGAGGGUUCGAAUCCCUCCGUUUCCG
rnacentral:tRNA from 2 species